GACGGAUUGGCUCGCGUGACAUUAGCUGGACGGCGGGGUAACGGCCCACCGUGGCUACGAUGUCUAGGGGUUCUGAGAGGAAGGUCCCCCACACUGGAACUGAGACACGGUCCAGACUCCUACGGGAGGCAGCAGUGAGGAAUAUUGGUCAAUGGGCGGGAGCCUGAACCAGCCAUGCCGCGUGAAGGCGAGUGCCCUACGGGCGUUAAACUUCUUUUGUGCGGGAGCAAUAAGGGCCACGCGUGGCCCGAUGAGAGUACCGCACGAAUAAGCAUCGGCUAACUCCGUGCCAGCAGCCGCGGUAAUACGGGGGAUGCGAGCGUUAUCCGGAUUUAUUGGGUUUAAAGGGUGCGUAGGCGGCGCUUCAGGUCAGCGGUGAAAUACCGGGGCUCAACCCCGGGGCUGCCGUUGAAACCGGAGCGCUAGAAUUCCGAUGCCGUCGGAGGAAUGUGUGGUGUAGCGGUGAAAUGCAUAGAUAUCACACAGAACACCGAUUGCGAAGGCAUCUGACGAAUCGGAGAUUGACGCUGAUGCACGAAAGCGUGGGUAUCGAACAGGAUUAGAUACCCUGGUAGUCCACGCUGUAAACGAUGAUGACUAGCCGUCGGCGAUACAGUGUCG
rnacentral:rRNA from 1 species